UGAUGUCAGCGGUGGACCAAUGGAAGUACAGGGGCGGGGCUGGAGGACCUGGCGAGGCGGUUGGCCCUCCGACCAAUCAGUGAAUGAGAGGCGGGACUUGAUUAUACCACGUGAUCAUCCUCGCGGACAGCGCGGCUGUGCGGGCGGAGAGCUAUCGAUCCCAGUGAUUAAUGCCAAAGCCCUGUUGCCUGGGGAGAGGGUGAUGUUUGACUUUCUUGUACAGCUGCAGUUUGUGUGGUGAAGGUGUUCCCACAAUGUGGUUGGGAUGAGGCUGUCACUGGCUCGGCCAGCAUUUAUUGCUGCGUUUACCCAGUGGGCAGUUAAGAAUCAACGACGUUGCUAUAGGUCUGGAGUCCCAUGCAGACCAGACCAGAUCCCAGUGAUCAGUGCCAAAGCCCCAUUGCCUGUGUAGAGGGUGAUGUUUGAUUUCCCUGUCCAGCUGCAGUUCAUGUGGUGAAGGUGCUCCCACAAUGUGGUUGGGUCACCGUUCAGCCUCUGAUGCUCCAAGGAAAGCAGCCUAUCCAAACCUGGCAACAUCCUAUAAUUAUUUUCUGACCCCUUUCAAGUUUGAGAACAUCCAUCUGAUCGGAAGGAGACCAGAAUUGCAUGGAAUAUUACAAAAGUUGCCGAAUCAAUGUCCUGUACAGCCUCAGUAUGACCUCUCAAUGCUGUGACCAAUAAAGGCAAGCAGACAAACUGCCGCCCUUCACUAUUCUAUCUACUUGCUACUCUACUUUCAAGGAACUAUGAACCUGCACUCCAAGGACUCUUUGUUUAGCAGCACUCCCUAGGAACUUACUAUUAACUGUAUAAGUCCUGCUAAAGUAUGUUUCGUGAUGUUUAACUUCUCAAAUUGGACUGGAGUUUAAUAUUCUGGAGAAAUGUCAAAUAAAUCGCAUUUAUCCCA